rnacentral:lncRNA from 10 species
CUGGAGUGUAGUGGCGCUAUCAUGGCUCACUGCAGCCUCAACCUCCAGGGCUGAAGCAAUCCUCCCAUCUCAGCUCCCAAGUAUCUGGGACUACAGGAACGGGAGGAAAAACGGACGGAGGCGGCUCUACAGCAACACAGGUUUACCGAACAAACACCCGCGGAGGGGGACACCAACUAAGGCCAGAGCCCGCCCCCGCUUACAGACUGGGGCUUCAACCACGUGGGAGGAUCUGGGAACAGCUCCUUGAUUGGCACUUCAAAUAUCCCUCAUCAGCUCCAUCAUGGCUUGAAUUCUGCUGAAGAACGCAGGUGUUCCAAGUUGGA